UGGAGUGUUGAAUUUGUUUCAAGUGUUUUGUGGCGCUUUCCAUUAUUUUCAGCAGACCGCAUUGCAAAAUAUGCCCUUUUUUUAACUGUUUUUUUUUUAAAUUAUUAUUGGCUAAUACAGUAGGAAGGGGAUUCAUACUUUCCAUUAUUUUCAGCAAAAUUAUUAACCUCGCCUCUUCCUCUCAUGCGAGAUCCACCCAGGAAUGGGACCAUAUGAAUUUCUUCCUUACUAUAUAUAGUUUUUUAUUCGUUACAUGCUAGCUACCCACCUGGUUUCACCUUAUUCAUUUAUUGGCUAAUACAGUAGGAAAGGGAUUUAUACACCACCAUUCGUCGCGGUUUACCUGACACGUAAAACGUGCCAAACGGGAGUGGAGUGUUUGAAUUUUUUUCAAGUGUGUUUUGUAGCACUCCCAACUUUAACAAGUGGCGCUUUCCAUUGUUUUCAGCAGACAGCAUUGCAAAAUAUGCCCUUUUUUUAACAGUUUUUUUUAAUAUUUAUUGGCUAAUAUAGUAGGAAGGGGAUUCAUACGACCCCAUUCUUUGUGGUUUACCUGACACGUAAAACGUGCCAGACGGCAGUGGAGUGUUGAAUUUUUUUCAAGUGUGUUUUGUGGCGCUUUCCAUUAUUUUCAGCAGACUGCAUUGCAAAAUAUGCCCUUUUUUUUUAAACUCUUUUUUUAAAUAUUUAUUGGCUAAUACAGUAGGAAGGGGAUUCAUACAUUCCAUUAUUUUCAACACAAUUAUUAACCUCGCCUCUUCCUCUCACGCGAGAUCCACCCAGGAAUAGGGCCAUAUGAAUUUCUUCCUUACUAUAUAUAGUUUUUUAUUCGUUACAUGCUAGCUACCUACCUAGUUAACUGGUUACACCUUUUUUUCAAGUGUGUUUUGUGGCACUCCCAACAUUGUCAAGUGGCGCUUUCCAUUAUUUUCAGCAGCCCGCAUUUCAAAAUAUGCCCUUUUUUUAACAGUUUUUUUUAAUAUUUAUUGGCUAAUACAGUAGGAAGGGGAUUCAUACAACCCCAUUCGUCGCGGUUUACCUGACACGUAAAACGUGCCAGACGACAGUGGAGUGUUUGAAUUUUUUUCAAGUGUUGUGUGGCACUCCCAACUUUGACAAGUGGCGCUUUCCAUUAUUUUCAGCAGACCGCAUUGCAAAAUAUGCCCUUUUUUUAAACUCUUUUUUUUUUAUAUUUAUUGGCUAAUGCAGUAGGAAGGGGAUUCAUACGGCCCCAUUCUUCGCGGUUUACCUGACACGUAAAACAUGCCAAACGAGAGUGGAGUGUUUGAAUUUUUUUCAAUUGUGUUUUUUGGCACUCCCAACUUUAACAAGUGACGCUUUCCAUUAUUUUCAGCAGACCGCAUUGCAAAAUAUGCCCUUUUUUAACUGUUUUUUUUAUAUUUAUUGGCUAAUACACUAGGAAGGGGAUUCAUACUUUCCAUUAUUUUCAGAAAAAUUAUUAACCUCGCCUCUUCCUCUCACGCGAGAUCCACCCAGGAAUGGGGCCAUAUGAAUUUCUUACUUACUAUGUAUAGUUUUUUAUUUGUUACAUGCUAGCUACCUACCGAGUUAACUGGUUACAUCUUUUUUUCCAAGUGUGUUUUGUGGCACUCCCAACAUUGACAAGUGGCGCUUUCCAUUAUUUUCAGCAGACCGCAUUGCAAAAUAUGCCCUUUUUUAACUGUUUUAAAAAAAAUAUUUAUUGGCUAAUACAGUAGGAAGGGGAUUCAUACGACCCCAUUCUUCGUGGUUUACCUGACACGAAAACUUGCCAGACGGCAGUGAAGUGUUGAAUUUUUUCCCAGUGUGUUUUGUGGCACUCCCAACAUUGACAAGUGCCACUUUUCAUUAUUUUCAGCAGACCGCAUUGCAAAAUAUGCACUUUUUUAACUGUUUUUUUUUUUUUUUUUUUUAUUGGCUAAUACAGUAGGAAGGGGAUUUAUACACCACCAUUCGUCGCGGUUUACCUGACACGUAAAACGUGCCAAACGGGAGUGGAGUGUUUGAAUUUUUUUCAAGUGUGUUUUGUGGCACUCCCAACUUUGACAAGUGGCGCUUUCCAUUAUUUUCAGCAGAGCGCAUUGCAAAAUAUGCCCUUUUUUUUUAACAGUUUUUUAAAUAUUUAUUGGCUAAUACAGUAGGAAGGGGAUUCAUACGGCCCCAUUCGUCGCGGUUUACCUGACACGUAAAACGUGCCAGACGGCAGUGGAGUGUUGAAUUUUUUUCAAGUGUGUUUUGUGGCACUCCCAACAUUGACAAGUGCCACUUUCCAUUAUUUUCAGCAGACCGCAUUGCAAAAUAUGCCUUUUUUUUAACAGUUUUUUAAAUAUUUAUUGGCUAAUACAGUAGGAAAGGGAUUCAUACGGCCCCAUUCGUCGCGGUUUACCUGACACGUAAAACGUGCCAAACGGGAGUGGAGUGUUUGAAUUUUUUUCAAGUGUGUUUUGUAGCACUCCCAACUUUGACAAGUGGCGCUUUCCAUUAUUUUCAGCAGACCGCAUUGCAAAAUAUGCCCUUUUUUUAACUGUUUUUUUUUUAAUAUUUAUUGGCUAAUACAGUAGGAAGGGGAUUCAUACAACCCCAUUCGUCGCGGUUUACCUGACACGUAAAAUGUGCCAGACGGCAGUGGAGUGUUUGAAUUUUUUUCAAGUGUUGUGUGGCACUCCCAACUUUGACGAGUGGCGCUUUCCAUCAUUUUCAGCAGACCGCAUUACAAAAUAUGCCGUUUUUUUACUUUUUUUUUUCAUAUUUAUUGGCUAAUACAGUAGGAAUGGGAUUCAUACGGCCCCAUUCAUCGCGGUUUACCUGACACGUAAAACGUGCCAGACGGCAGUGGAGUGUUGAAUUUUUUCAAGUGUGUUUGUGGCACUCCCAACUUUGACAAGUGGCGCUUUCCAUUAUUUUCAGCAGACCGCAUUGCAAAAUAUGCCCUUUUUUUUGUUUUGUUUUUUAUAUUUAUUGGCUAAUACAGUAGGAAGGGGAUUCAUACAACCCCAUUCGUCGCGGUUUACCUGACACGUAAAACGUGCCAGACGGCAGUGGAGUGUUGAAUUUUUUUCAAGUGUGUUUUGUGGCACUCCCGACUUUGACAAGUGGCGCUUUCCAUUAUUUCCAGCAAUGCGCAUUGCAAAAUAUGCCCUUUUUUAAACUGUUUUUUUGUAUAUUUAUUGGCUAAUACAGUAGGAAGGGGAUUCAUACGGCCCCAUUCGUCACGGUUUACCUGACACGUAAAACGUGCCAGACGGCAGUGGAGUGUUGAAUUUUUUUCAAGUGUGUUUGUGGCGCUUUCCAUUAUUUUCAGCAGACCGCAUCGCAAAAUAUGUCCUUUUUUUUAACAGUUUUUUUUGUAUAUUUAUUGGCUAAUACAGUAGGAAGGGGAUUCAUACGGCUCCAUUCGUCGCGGUUUACCUGACACGUAAAGUGAAGUGAAGUGAAUUAUAUUUAUAUAGCGCUUUUCUCUAGUGACUCAAAGCGCUUUUACAUAGUGAAACCCAAUAUCUAAGUUACAUUUAAACCAGUGUGGGUGGCACUGGGAGCAGGUGGGUAAAGUGUCUUGCCCAAGGACACAACGGCAAUGACUAGGAUGGCGGAAGUGGGGAUCGAACCUGGAACCCUCAAGUUGCUGGCACGGCCACUCUACCAACCGAGCUAUACCGCUAAAACGUGCCAGACGGCAGUGGAGUGUUGAAUUUUUUUCCAAGUGUGUUUUGUGGCACUCCCAACUUUGACAAGUGGCGCUUUCCAUUAUUUUCAGCAGACCGCAUUGCAAAAUAUGCCCUUUUUUUAACUGUUUUUUUUUUUUUUAUAUAUUGGCUAAUACAGUGAGAAGGGGAUUCAUACUUUCCAUUAUUUUCAGCAAAAUGAUUAACCUCACCUCUUCCUCUCAUGCGAGAUCCACCCAAGAAUGGGGCCAUAUUUUUACUCGUUACAUGCUAGCUACCUACCUAGUUAACUGGUUACAACUUUGUUUUCUUUCUUUUUUUUAAUAAAAAUAAAAACAUUAAGUUUAAUUAUUGAGAUAUAUCAAUAUAUUUUCCGCUGAUUUGCGUUUUCACUAAUAAAAAAGGCUUUUGUUAAGAUAUCUUAUGUUGGCGUCAAAUGGAGAAGUUACGCUAACGGUUGUUAGCAUUUAGCUCAGCCUCAGCUAGCUGGCUGCUAGCAGACACAGCUGCCCCGAAAUGUCAAAGAAAUGUGUUUUUACGUCGCACUUUGUCUUCUAUUUUUGUUCUUUAUAACCACGAUUAAAAAAAAGAUGUCAAGUUUUUCAGUCCAGUCGACUUCAAAGACAAACAGGAACAAGUAGAAGGCGGCGAGCGAGCCGCUUAUGGCCGUGGUGAAGGGAAGGAGCUGUAAAUUCAAAUGGGCCCAUUUGUCACGGUUGACCUGACACAUGGAACGUGACAAAUUGGCAGGGGGGGGCACACUAACAACGUUAGCCGCCAGGUGGCAGUAAAGUGUGGAAUAUCUUAAAAUGUGUUUUUUUGGCAAUUCCAACUUUGAUUACAGCGUCAGUUGCUAUGCUUUCCGUCAUUUUCAGCAGACUGCUUUGCAAAAUGAUUUAACUCUCUAAAGUACUCACACGUGAGUUAGUUUUGUCGAUAAAAGU